UACGGAGGGAGCGAGCGUUGUUCGGAAUUACUGGGCGUAAAGCGCACGUAGGCGGUUUUUUAAGUCUGUGGUGAAAUCCCGGGGAUCAACCCCGGAACUGCCUUUGAAACUGGAGAGCUAGAAUCUUGGAGAGGCGAGUGGAAUUCCGAGUGUAGAGGUGAAAUUCGUAGAUAUUCGGAAGAACACCAGUGGCGAAGGCGACUCGCUGGACAAGUAUUGACGCUGAGGUGCGAAAGCGUGGGGAGCAAACAGG
rnacentral:rRNA from 1 species